GCGCUCGCUUCGGCAGCACAUAUACUAAAAUUGGAACGAUACCGAGAGGAUUAGCCUGGCCCCUGAGCAAGGAUGACGUGCAAAUUCGUGAAGCAUUCCAUAUUUUU
rnacentral:snRNA from 1 species